rnacentral:rRNA from 1 species
UACGAAGGGAGCUAGCGUUGUUCGGAAUCACUGGGCGUAAAGCGCACGUAGGCGGAUUUGCCAGUCAGGGGUGAAAGCCCGAGGCUCAACCUCGGAACUGCCUUCGAUACUGCGGGUCUCGAGUCCGGGGAGAGGGUGAGUUGGAAUUCCUAGUGUAGAGGUGAAAUUUCGUAGAUAUUAGGAAGAACACCAGUGGCGAAGGCGACUUACUGGACUGUAACUGACGCUGAGGCAUGAAAGGCGUGGGGAGCAAACAGG